GCCAGGAGCACUAUUGUGCACCUGUAGUCCCAGCUAUUUGGGAGGCUGAGGCAGGAGGAUCUCUUGAGCCCAGGAAUUUGAGGCCAGCCUGGACAAUAUGGUCUU
rnacentral:sRNA from 1 species